ACAGGUGCUGCAUGGCUGUCGUCAGCUCGUGUCGUGAGAUGUUGGGUUAAGUCCCGCAACGAGCGCAACCCUUAUCCCUAGUUGCCAUCAGGUAAAGCUGGGAACUCUGGGGAGACUGCCGGUGAUAAGCCGGAGGAAGGCGGGGAUGACGUCAAGUCCUCAUGGCCCUUACAUCCCGGGCUACACACGUGCUACAAUGGCAGGUACAGAGGGCUGCGAAGCCGCGAGGUGGAGCGAAUCCCAGAAAACCUGUCUCAGUCCGGAUUGAAGUCUGCAACUCGACUUCAUGAAGGCGGAAUCGCUAGUAACCGCGAAUCAGCAGGUCGCGGUGAAUACGUUCCCGGGCCUU
rnacentral:rRNA from 1 species